GUCGUGAGAUGUUGGGUUAAGUCCCGCAACGAGCGCAACCCUUGUCCUAUGUUGCCAGCGGGUAAUGCCGGGGACUCGUAGGAGACUGCCGGGGUCAACUCGGAGGAAGGUGGGGAUGACGUCAAGUCAUCAUGCCCCUUACGUCCAGGGCUGCACACAUGCUACAAUGGCCGGUACAAAGGGCUGCUAUCCCGCGAGGGUGAGCGAAUCCCAAAAAGCCGGUCUCAGUUCGGAUUGCAGUCUGCAACUCGACUGCAUGAAGUCGGAGUCGCUAGUAAUCCCGGAUCAGCAACGCCGGGGUGAAUACGUUCCCGGGCCUUGUACACACCGCCCGUCAAACCACGAAAGUCGGCAACACCCGAAGCCGGUGACCCAACCCUUUUGGGAGGGAGCCGUCGAAGGUGGGGUUGGUGAUUGGGGUUAAGUCGUAACAAGGUAGCCGUACCGGAAGGUGCGGCUGGAUCACCUCCUUUCUAAGGAGUUUCACUUUGAUCAAGCUGCUACCCAUUUCGGGUGGUGAGCGAUCAGAACUCCCAGUCGAUCACUGGCUACUCGCUGUAUCCACAACCAAUCAUUGGUUGAUUGCCCGGAAGCUCGGGGACUCCCUUUCUGAUUGGCUCUGUGAAUACUCGGACUGUUCCUAUUCCGUUCCCAGGGAGCGACGUUUGUCGCGCCCGUGGAUCUUUGAGAACUCCAUAGCGAGCACGAGCACCUGAUUCUCCAAGCUACAAAGAGCCAACGGUGGAUGCCUUGGCGCCUGAAGCCGAUGAAGGACGUGGGAGGCUGCGAUAAGCCACGGGGAGUUGCCGACCAAACUUUGAUCCGUGGACGU
rnacentral:sRNA from 1 species